AUGGCUCCGUCGUAGCCCAAGUCAGGCCUCUUCAUGGGCAUCAACAAGAGCCACAUCGUCACCAAACGCUAGCUGCCGCCGCGCCCGUCCAAACGCAAGGGGAAAGGUACCAAGAGGGUGCAUUUCGUCAAGAACUUGAUCAGGGAGGUCGUUGGGUUUGAUCCGUAUGAGAAGCGUAUCACUGAGCUUCUUAAGGUUGGCAAGGACAAGCGUGCCCUGAAGGUGGUGAAGCGAAAUUUGGGUACCCACAAGAGGGCAAAGAAGAAGAGAGAGGAGAUGUCUAGUGUCCUCAGGAAGAUGAGGUGUGUAAAACAUGGGCAAUUCUGGAACUAA
rnacentral:rRNA from 1 species